UUUAAAUGGCCGCAGUAUACUAACUGUGCAAAGGUAGCAUAAUCAUUAGUCUUUUAAUUGAAGGCUGGUAUGAAUGGUUGGACGAGAUAUUAACUGUUUCAUAAAAAUUUAUAAUAGAAUUUUAUUUUUUAGUUAAAAAGCUAAAAUAUAUUUAAAAGACGAGAAGACCCUAUAAAUCUUUAUAUUUAAAUUAUUAUAAUUUUAUAGAUUUAUUUUGUUAUAAUAGUUGAUAAUAUUUUAUUGGGGUGAUAUUAAAAUUUAAUAAACUUUUAAUUGUUUAAAUCAUUAAUUUAUGAAUAAUUGAUCCGUUAUUAGCGAUUAAAAAAAUAAGUUACUUUAGGGAUAACAG
rnacentral:rRNA from 1 species